rnacentral:rRNA from 1 species
GCAGUCGAACGGUGAAGCAGAGCUUGCUCUGUGGAUCAGUGGCGAACGGGUGAGUAACACGUGAGCAACCUGCCCUGGACUCUGGGAUAAGCGCUGGAAACGGCGUCUAAUACUGGAUACGAGACGUGGCCGCAUGGUCAACGUUUGGAAAGAUUUUUUGGUUCAGGAUGGGCUCGCGGCCUAUCAGCUUGUUGGUGAGGUAAUGGCUCACCAAGGCGUCGACGGGUAGCCGGCCUGAGAGGGUGACCGGCCACACUGGGACUGAGACACGGCCCAGACUCCUACGGGAGGCAGCAGUGGGGAAUAUUGCACAAUGGGCGAAAGCCUGAUGCAGCAACGCCGCGUGAGGGAUGACGGCCUUCGGGUUGUAAACCUCUUUUAGCAAGGAAGAAGCGAAAGUGACGGUACUUGCAGAAAAAGCGCCGGCUAACUACGUGCCAGCAGCCGCGGUAAUACGUAGGGCGCAAGCGUUAUCCGGAAUUAUUGGGCGUAAAGAGCUCGUAGGCGGUUUGUCGCGUCUGCUGUGAAAACUGGAGGCUCAACCUCCAGCCUGCAGUGGGUACGGGCAGACUAGAGUGCGGUAGGGGAGAUUGGAAUUCCUGGUGUAGCGGUGGAAUGCGCAGAUAUCAGGAGGAACACCGAUGGCGAAGGCAGAUCUCUGGGCCGUAACUGACGCUGAGGAGCGAAAGGGUGGGGAGCAAACAGGCUUAGAUACCCUGGUAGUCCACCCCGUAAACGUUGGGAACUAGUUGUGGGGACCAUUCCACGGUUUCCGUGACGCAGC